rnacentral:rRNA from 1 species
UACGUAGGGUCCGAGCGUUGUCCGGAAUUACUGGGCGUAAAGAGCUCGUAGGUGGUUUGUCGCGUUGUUCGUGAAAACUCACAGCUCAACUGUGGGCGUGCGGGCGAUACGGGCAGACUGGAGUACUGCAGGGGAGACUGGAAUUCCUGGUGUAGCGGUGGAAUGCGCAGAUAUCAGGAGGAACACCGGUGGCGAAGGCGGGUCUCUUGGGCAGUAACUGACGCUGGAGGA